rnacentral:rRNA from 1 species
UGGGGAAUAUUGGACAAUGGGGGAAACCCUGAUCCAGCAAUGCCGCGUGUGCGAUGAAGGCCUGAGGGUUGUAAAGCACUUUCGUUGGGGAGGAAAUGCUCAAAGCUAAUACCUUUGAGAGCUGACGUUACCUAAAGAAGAAGCACCGGCAAACUCUGUGCCAGCAGCCGCGGUAAUACAGAGGGUGCAAGCGUUAAUCGGAGUUACUGGGCGUAAAGGGCGCGUAGGCUGAUGUUUAAGUUAAUUGUGAAAUCCCUGGGCUUAACCUAGGAAUUGCAGUUAAUACUGGACAUCUAGAGUAUGGUAGAGGAAAGUGGAAUUCUCGGUGUAGUGGUUAAAUACGUAGAUAUCGAGAAGAACACCGGUGGCGAAGGCGACUUUCUGGACCAAUACUGACGC